rnacentral:tRNA from 1 species
GGACAGUUAGUCUAAAUAAGACACUUGAUUUCGGCUCAAGAAAUCGAGGUUAAACUCCUCCAUUGUCCU